UGAUAUCUGUGUCCUGUGCCCAGAAAUAAUGUUUAACAAUAACUUUAUUUGUCCUCAAAUGGCAACUGGUUGUGCUGCAGUAAAACAGAGACACGUGAUAUAACACACAGCACAUAGAUGCAGAAUAUAAAUACAAAGUAAAGAGAAAUUAUUUUAAUAAUAAAUUAUGAGUUUAACUGUAAAAUCACAAUAAAUCCAAAUCACAUUUAGAUCCUGAGUGGGUAUAUGUCCUCAUGUUAUCAUUUCCUUGCAGAGUUUGGUGAGAGAUGACAGGGGGUAUGAAAUUGUUUUUCUAUCUGUUGGUUUGAAUAAUGGGACUCUAAAAAAAAGGUCUGAAACUCUGCAUGCAAAAGUGAAUGUUGUCAGGCAGGUUUGUUGUGCUGUGGUCAACUCCAAUCUGCAGCCACAUCGAUAGAGAGGUCCAGAAUUAAUUUAGGAAUGGGCCAACUCAAAGGACAAGUAAUUUGAUUACCCCUCUAUUCAACCCUUUCCUUGUCUUCCUUAUCAUCAUGACAUCUGCAGGUGAUGUUUGAGGUUUUAAUUCUGUGGCUCUCCAUUUCAGAUCAUACUGUACGGGUAACUCUACACGCUCCGAUAAGGUCCUGGAACUGGGUCAGACAGAAACAUUAACCCAUUUUGUUUUAUAGAAGCCUUGACACGGCCAGGCUCCCAGGUCAACAGGUCACACACUACACCACCAACAAGUCAUUUUUCAGUUUGCUAAAGAAAUCUUUCAUUGACAGUUUUAUUUGAUUUGGCUAAAUAUUUUACAACACCUAACAGAAGCACACAAUGAAAAAAAAAAACUAAAUAAAUAAAUGCAUAUAUACGUAUAUCUUGGGGCUAAAUUUAAAAACAAUUCUAAAAGAAAAAAGAAAAUGUAAUACUUUUAUUUAAUAAUCAUUACUAAAGUUUGCUCCAACUUAAGGAAACACACACAAACUACCAGCAUUUUUCACCUGACUUACACAAUUGAGGUGGCAAAUAGUGUAGCUUUAAACCUGCUGAAAGCGCAAAUGUAGUGUAAUCAAAACAGUGGCACAUGGGCUUCUGUGUCAUUUGUACAGUGGUGCUUUGGUGGUGCUAAAUGGCUAUGUGUAUCUUAUUGGUAUCUGUAUUUUAUUGGUUCUUCAUUAUUUUUAUUAACCAGGUGUGUAGCAUGUCUUUAUACAAAUGGACGUUGUUGGACGUUGUUACUGAAUAAAACUUAAAUAAAAUUAAAAUGUUUCAAAACGUGGAGGGAGAGUAGUCUGAAUUGGGUUCUGGAGCUAUGCUCCACCUCAUUCAUCGCGCUCAUCCGCCAGCCGCGAGCGAUUCCAAGUCAGUGAGUGUCACAUCCACCGGUGGCGCUGAGAAACUGCGUCACCAAGUUUCUCCUGCGACGACCGCUCACAAUGACCCAUUUUUCUGUUCACUCGCUCACCCAUAUUAGGUGAUACCCUGCAAGGGUAACUAUUGGCUCCUGUCUCAGACCUUCCCCGAGGUGAUUGAUAGAGUGACGAUGCACUCAGCGUGUGACCUCUACAAUGAGCUUCCGCCCACGAAAGAGAAAAUGGAGGUUGCGGGUAUUAAUGGAGUCACAUGUGUACUUGCAAUCUCUGUAAUGGUGCAAAUAAUAAGAAAUUUAAUAUUUUGACAUUAAGGCUACCCGCGACAUAAAGGCCACGCGUGGACAUCGUACAACUUCUCAUUUUCCCCUCGUUUGUAUUUGAGGUAUUUCUAAGUAAAUAAUGACAUGGACGCCCGUGGCAUGCUGGGAAACAGAGCCGUUUUCGUUGGUCUCUUUCUAAUCAUUCAUAUAAACCAGGAGCAUUUUUGCAUUUAACUUGCUCUUACAGUCUUUGCAAAAAUAAAAACCCUCUAAAUGUGGCGACCUUAUACAAAGAAGAUGCUUUAUUUUAACCAUAGUCAACCUUUCUCUCAAUAACAAUGCAAUUAAAUACACUGAAUGUAUUCGAAUAGAAACCUAUUGAAAACUACAGACGGAUUGUGUGGGAACAUUUUGAUUUUUCCUCGUGGUGUUUUUAUAUGAACGCCCCAUAUGUUUGGUGUACAUAAUGUCAGUUUCCUGGAUAAUAAGUAAAUUAAUGCUUUAUGGUACCAGUAACGGUAACAUAACAUAAUCAAAAAAUCUCUGACAACAUUUAUAAGGCAACAAGGCAGAUGUUUAAAUUAAAUAAAACAAUUCAACACUUGCUUUCACAACGCCUACCUCCAGAAUCCCGGCAUUUUGUGAUAUUUACUCUACUCUGAAUUUACUCAAAUUACACAGUAGUUCUCAGAUAUGCUCCCUGCUGUGACGACAUUUGACCACUAGAUGGCAGACAAACACAAUCACAUUUUGUUUUCAAUCAUGAUUGGGGUGCUGUGUAGAUACAUCGUUUGUUUUCCACAGGCAGCUGUAAUCUGAACAGCAUAACUCAUCUGAGCAGAAAUGUUUUAUAACACUCCCAGAUCCAGAGGAGAUGUCAUUAACUCAAAACUAAAAGUUCAGUGGGACAGGUGUAAAAUGAACAUGGCCAGAUGUCACAGCUGGUGAGGAAAGAUGUUUGGUCCUCAGCCCACAGGUAAGGUAUUUAUUGUCCUUUCAUAUGAUGGAAUUCAGGCUGAAUCGCCAUUAAACUGCACAGCUUUGUGAACACACGCACACAGACAGUUCUGUAGGCAGCAGUGGACAUCCUGCUUCCUUUGUCUUCUAAUAAGAAGCCAAGGCAAGGUCCUCUUCACAUGGAUAGACAGCGGCAAAGAAAGAGUGGAUGUACAUCUUGUUUGGUUAAAGACAAAAAGGAUUGUUGUGAAAGAAUUGUGGGCUGGUAGACUGUCAAGCUUUCCAGUGAAUCAAAUUUGAAAAUGAAGCAUCUCCAAGGACAGUAUGUAAUAAUUAAUUUUCUGUUCUGUUUAUCUGUUUGUCUCUUUCUGUUUGUGAGGAUUUUUCUCACACCAGUUGCUAACACAUUUAUUUUACCUGUCAAUAUGGCAAAGACAUCAACUUGAAAUUGAUUAUAACCCUGCCAGUGUGAGGAUAUCAAACAUACCAUGUUCUGUCAUCCAGGGUUAUUGCUCCCCAAAAACAACAGCAGCCUAUUUUAAAUUGGGAGAGAGCAAUAUUUCCCAUUUUUUUGACUGCCCUUGGUACACCUCUGGAGGAAGAGGAAAUAGUUUGACCCAAAUCAUCAGUGGUGUCCUUGAAGACACACUCUUAUUAAUAACCUCAGGAAUCUGGAGACCACCUCUACUCCUCUCCACUCCUCCCAUCUCCUACCCCUCCUCUCCGUUGUGAUCUUCCCUGUCCUAACUUUUAUUCCACCUCCUUUUCUGGUCUGUGUGCACCUUCACUUUCACUCGCACGGACCCGCAAGGCCCCCACAGGGCCUCAAAAUCAAUCUCACAGUUCUUAAAAUAUUCAACCUAGUUGUGGAAGAGUGCUUACCAGUAAAAUGUACAGAACUCACUCCUUCCUUUUACUCCUUCCCUGUCUUCCUAAGGACUCAUGUACAUUUCCUUUCAUUUCAGUUUUGGCCUCAGUGGCAUUUUUUUCAUUUGUUUAUUUAAUAUAUGUGAGAGCAGACAUGCAUUUCCCUUUAUUUCUCUUCCCUGAUUUUAGUGUUUACUUUGACGAGAAUUCCUUUAUUUUAUUAUGUUUUAUGUUUUCAUGUUUCAUGGAGGUAACAAAUUAGUGUUUAGGGGGACCUAGAACUAAAUUUCACUGCACUUUUUUUAUUACCCAUUACAUAUUGACCUGUGUCCUUUCACAACAGCUAUGUCAUGAAAAGGAGCCAGACUAUGUGACUAAAAAAUGUGACAAUCAAAAAACUUUAUAAUAAACUUUAACAUACCCUCUAACUACACUUUAAUUACAGUGAAAAUGGGUGAACAAUGGAACACUUUAUAUUACAGCUCAGUAUUUAAUCAUCAUUUUAAAAACAUAAACAUAACUUAUCAAACUAAAAUCUAUUUUAUAGUUACAGCUAUAAAGGCACACCCUUAUUUCCCCAGCAACAACAAUAAAGUUUUUUUUUUACAAAAACAUUAAAACUAUAUUAACAAUAAUAAGUACUCCAAAAUUAAAUGCGUGUGAAAACCUGCCUAUUAACUGAAAAAGGAAGGAAAUAAAGGUUAUUGGCACUCUGUAAUUGGUGACCCCUGUCUCAGUAGGCUGUGACCCCCAGACAGCUGAAGAAAUAUCAUCGAUCACCCAGGAUAAGAAUAGCAUCUGGAAGCUGGCCUAUAGCCAACACUGAUAACGUCUCCUCCUCACCAGUUUGGGUAAUUAACAGAGACAGCAUUCACGGUGAUGCAUCCAGCUGAAACUUCAAACAAUCCCUGUACCUGCCUGUUACAACCUUUAACUAAUGAGUUCUCCUGCCAUUUAAGCUGCCACUAUGAGAAAAAAAAAUUGGAAAACUGUAGCGUGACCCAGGUCUGAUCUAAAAGACACAUUUAAUGAAAUACAUGCUGAUUCCAUUAUGUCUGGUGACGUUUUUUUUCAAACUGCUAUUGAUUUUUAAAGGCAUGCAAAUUUUUCCCAACCCAGUGCUGAAGUCAAGGAGGCAUUGCCCGCCCUACAUUACAACUCAAAUAUAGCGGCACCAAUUAAGGCCAACUCUCCUAUGCUACAUUAAGCAUGUGGGAGAAAUCAUUCUAUAUUGCUGUAUUAUUUAUCUCUCAAUGUCGGACUGUGCAGACAAGUACCUUGUCAGUGGAUGAAAUUAGCUGGAACUUCGGUGAGGUGCAGCAUACUUAAUUUGACUCUGCAUAGAUGUGAACAUGAUUGUACAGAUAACAGAAAUGCAUCUGAUUCACAUUCAUUUUUGCCCUUUAGUGGUAAAAGAAAGGGAUCAGAGGGUUUAGUUUAGCCCUGAUUUGGGGAAUAAAUAAUCAGCCUGUUUAUCUUUUUCUUUAUUCUAUUUCUCUUGCUUUCUCUCACUUCCUUCAUUAUAGCUGUCAGAGGAGGAGAGAAGUAAUUACAACCUGCCUCUGACCCACACAGGCCUGCAGCCCAAUGAGGAGGGCCAGUGGAGGGGCACAAAAAGAGAAGAAGAUGCAGAAAAAAAGUGUAUUAAGAGACAGACUGAGGAAAGAAUGAGAGAUAAAGAGGAAGAAGAGAUAGCGGAGGGGAAGAAAGAAUAGAUAGGAGAGUGACUGAGUGAGGGAUGCUGAUGAAUGACAGAACGAGGCAGAAGAGGGCAGGCGAGAUGAAAGGAUAGGGGGUGAGCAGGAUGGCAGAGGGAGAAAGGGAGGGUAAGCUUCCGACAAAAGGAAGUGGGAGACAAUCCAGUAAAACACAUGGUGAGUGCAUUUGUGUGUGUGUGGGCAUGUAUUCCCGCAUGUUUGUGUCAUAGUUAGCCACUAUGCCCCCUGAUCCUUUUGUGCUCUUCUGUAUCUGCCUUCCCUUGUGUUUCCUGGCGGUCCCCUGUCUGUCUUGUUUGUGUAAGCGUGUGUGUGUAUGUGUCUGUGUUCUGGGCUGGCUUCCAGAUCUCCCGGCUGCGAUUGAUUACCGGCACACCUGAUCAUCAUAAUCAUCAACCACCACCGUUUAUCUACCGGGCUCAUCCAUACUAUCAGCGCCAGAUCGUCUUCGUACCCAAUCUCUGGUCUGCCGGUGAUCACCGCUUCCGUCUGUCUUUGGUUCUCCGGUAUUUCCAUUCAGUGCCAGCAGCCGCUACCUCCCUGUUUCACGACUAUCGGACUCUGGUCCCAGUCUCGACGUGCCUUAACCUGAUCAGCCAAGCCUUCAACCACGCCUGCCAGCCCAGAACCCGCUCCCCUGAUCUCCGCUCGAAGCACCAUCAUCCAGCCCCCGACCCAGUCCGGUCGAGCUCACAGGACGACAACGUACUUCGCCAGACACGCCGCUGUCUCCUAAUCCAUCUGCACAAUAAAACUGUUCAGAACUUGA